GUCAGCUGGGCCUCUCUGAAGGCAGAAUCAACAGUAACUGUAGUCUUACCCGGCUUGUUUGGAGCACUUUCUGGAUCAGCUGAUUUCCCAGAAGUCCCUGCUGCUGGGUUGCUACUGGGCAGGAUGGCCAUCCCUUCCUUCCACUCGAGGACGUGGACGAUGCUACAAGCCCCGCCCACCUGCGCUGUCAG